rnacentral:rRNA from 1 species
ACUGAACGCUGGCGGCAGGCCUAACACAUGCAAGUCGAGCGGCAGCGGGAAAGUAGCUUGCUACUUUUGCCGGCGAGCGGCGGACGGGUGAGUAAUGCCUGGGAAAUUGCCCAGUCGAGGGGGAUAACAGUUGGAAACGACUGCUAAUACCGCAUACGCCCUACGGGGGAAAGCAGGGGACCUUCGGGCCUUGCGCGAUUGGAUAUGCCCAGGUGGGAUUAGCUAGUUGGUGAGGUAAUGGCUCACCAAGGCGACGAUCCCUAGCUGGGCUGAGAGGAUGAUCAGCCACACUGGAACUGAGACACGGUCCAGACUCCUACGGGAGGCAGCAGUGGGGAAUAUUGCACAAUGGGGGAAACCCUGAUGCAGCCAUGCCGCGUGUGUGAAGAAGGCCUUCGGGUUGUAAAGCACUUUCAGCGAGGAGGAAAGGUUGAUGCCUAAUACGUAUCAACUGUGACGUUACUCGCAGAAGAAGCACCGGCUAACUCCGUGCCAGCAGCCGCCGUAACAC